UCAAAAGGUGUGGUGGAGAAUGAA
rnacentral:siRNA from 1 species